rnacentral:tRNA from 1 species
CGAGAAACCCAAGACACAGCUCUCGAAGCAGCCUGAUUGUGGCGAGAUUUUCUCAAUUUACAAAGACGAAAAUCAAGCGUCUACCUUGCCUUGUAGCGUUUGUAUACUCCAGGAUAUACGGUGAGAGCCGCGCGUACACUGGCGUUGCUGCACACAGAGACAGCACCCCCCCCCCUUUCAUGAGCAGAGAGGCGACGCAUCCUCGCCAUCAUCGGCUUUAUUCUCUUCGUUUUGUCUGUGCGCCCGAUCCCUGGAGUCGCGCGAGUGAAGGCUUUCUUCUCGGAGGAAGAGAAGAGAAGAGAAGAAGCGGUUUCGAGAGGACCGGAGGAGGCAAGAAGAUUGUCUUGCGCUGGAGAAGGCCGAGGGAAGAAGAUGGCCCCAAGAGCCUCGCAGGCGGCGUGGCCCAAUGGAUAGGGCGUCUGACUUCGGAUCAGAAGGUUGUGGGUUCGAGUCCCAUCGUCGUCAGCUUUUUUUUAAAAAAAGAAACUUUCUCUUUUUCUCCUUUUUUUUCUGGUGUCGCCGCUGUGAUCCUUUGAAGCUCUUCCGGGUGCUCCGCCUCUGUGAUCAAAACGGCGCGCAACCACGCAGUCGACUGACUCACGGCACUCGCUCUGAAACGGUCGCGCACAAAAAAAAACCUAAAUGGGCAAGUGGAAAUCCGUCUGCGGAUCUCUACAUGAAUAACAGAAACCUCCUUCAGAACCACGUCCAUAUUUGUAUUUACUCCUGUCCAAGGUAGAUACCGUACACCCGCU